UGGUGGCGAUAGCGAAGAGGUCACACCCGUUCCCAUCUCGAACACGGUAGUUAAGCUCUUCAGCGCCGAUGGUAGUUGGGGGUUCUCCCCCUGCAAGAGCAGGACGUUGCCAGGCU
rnacentral:rRNA from 1 species